UCGAGCGAGAUGUAUAUGGACGAAACUUCGGUCUAGGAAAUAUAUUGACAGCGGCGGACGGGUGAGUAACGCGUAGGCAACCUGCCCUUAACACAGGGAUAGCCUCGGGAAACCGGGAUUAAAACCUGAUAAUGCCAAAUAGUCACAUGGCUGUUUGGCCAAAGAUUUAUCGGUUAAGGAUGGGCCUGCGUCUGAUUAGUUUGUUGGUGGGGUAACGGCCUACCAAGACUACGAUCAGUAGCCGACCUGAGAGGGUGAUCGGCCACAUUGGAACUGAGACACGGUCCAAACUCCUACGGGAGGCAGCAGUGGGGAAUAUUGCACAAUGGGCGAAAGCCUGAUGCAGCAACGCCGCGUGAGCGAUGAAGGCCUUUGGGUCGUAAAGCUCUGUCCUUGGGGAAGAAACAAAUGACGGUACCCAAGGAGGAAGCCCCGGCUAACUACGUGCCAGCAGCCGCGGUAAUACGUAGGGGGCAAGCGUUAUCCGGAAUUAUUGGGCGUAAAGAGUACGUAGGUGGUCUUUUAAGCGCAGGGUUUAAGGCAAUGGCUUAACCAUUGUUCGCCCUGUGAACUGGAAGACUUGAGUGUAGGAGAGGAAAGUGGAAUUCCUAGUGUAGCGGUGAAAUGCGUAGAUAUUAGGAGGAACAUCAGUGGCGAAGGCGACUUUCUGGACUAUUACUGACACUGAGGUACGAAAGCGUGGGGAGCAAACAGGAUUAGAUACCCUGGUAGUCCACGCCGUANACGAUGAGCACUAGGUGUCGGGGUNGCAAGAUUUCGGUGCCGUAGUUAACGCAUUAAG
rnacentral:rRNA from 1 species